AACCGGGUGAUCUAGCCAUGGGCAGGUUGAAGGUUGAGUAACAUCAACUGGAGGACCGAACCGACUAAUGUUGAAAAAUUAGCGGAUGACUUGUGGCUAGGGGUGAAAGGCCAAUCAAACUCGGAGAUAGCUGGUUCUCCCCGAAAGCUAUUUAGGUAGCGCCUCGGACGAAUACUACUGGGGGUAGAGCACUGUUAAGGCUAGGGGGUCAUCCCGACUUACCAACCCUUUGCAAACUCCGAAUACCAGUAAGUACUAUCCGGGAGACACACGGCGGGUGCUAACGUCCGUCGUGGAGAGGGAAACAACCCAGACCGCCAGCUAAGGUCCCAAAGUAUUGCUAAGUGGGAAACGAUGUGGGAAGGCUCAGACAGCUAGGAUGUUGGCUUAGAAGCAGCCAUCAUUUAAAGAAAGCGUAAUAGCUCACUAGUCGAGUCGGCCUGCGCGGAAGAUGUAACGGGGCUAAGCAAUACACCGAAGCUGCGGCAAUAUCUUUUAGA
rnacentral:rRNA from 1 species